rnacentral:lncRNA from 1 species
UCGCGCCUCCCGGCCCCGGCCUGGCGUCCGUGGGGCGCUGUGCGUCUCCGAGAACGAAGCGGCCUCCGGGUUCGUGUGCUCCGAGCCCGAGUACUGUUUGCGGCCGUCGUCCCGUCCUGGAGCAGGAGUGAGGAAGCGCCUCUCACUCCCCCGCGAACCCGCAGAACAGGCCGCCGGCGCUAUGGAGACCGGCGGAGCUUCCCGCUCCUUCACCAAGGGGCCCUGACGCGCAGUUGAAAGCGCGGAUUUUGCCGGGCGCGGCGGCUGCGUCCGGAGUCCCAGCGCCUUGGGAGGCGAGGCGGGAGGAUCCCCACGGCCCGGGAGCUCGAGACCAGCCCGGGCAAAUAUUUUGAAAGUCAUGUUACAGAAGCUCUCAGUGGGCUGUGGAGACGCUGCCGUCUCCUGAACACAUCCAGCGACCACAUGACUAAGCAAAGGCAGCGGAGAGUGGACGGACGGUGAUGGACGCGGCCACGGAGCCCAAGCGCCCACAAUGCGCAUUCCUGUCUUUUCUCUCCCCGCUCACCUCAGAGCGGGACGGAAGGUGGGACUGGGAGAGCUGUUCUCGGGCAGGUGGACGCUGUGGAUUAGCGGAGAGGGAAGGCACUUUCGUUCUCGGCACCGUGAGGCUGUCCUGGUCAAUCCUGUUUUCAUGCUUGAGGGUCUCUGGUGCAGCAGCUCCACCAGCCUUGACACCAGGACUUCUGUGGAAUCCAGACGGAGUCAUGCUCUGUCACCCAGGCUGGAGUGC